rnacentral:misc_RNA from 1 species
GUGUGCUAGUGUGUUGCGGGGAGCCACAGUGCCUGCAAGUGUUGGCUGGGCUCGCUGGCUGGCUGGCUCGCUGGCUUUGUGCGGUGGCUUUGUGCAGUGGCGUUCCUCAAGCGAAGCAAAUGUCGCCUCUUUUGAAAAUUGAGGCGAAAUAUACUUUCAAAAUGUAAUUGUACGAAAAUUAUGUUAAUGUGAUUUAUACAGGAACGAUCUGAUGAACAUUGCAUAAUUCGAAAAUAUAGAGAAAGAAAUUGAAUGAAAAGAUAUGUGUUGAAGAUGUAUUAGCAACGUUGAGUUGUUGGUUUUUCCCUCUGUUUUGUGUUUCCUUUACGUUUGUGCGUUUAUUUGUGAUAAUUUGCCGUAGUUAUUCUUUGCUUUUUCUGGCGGGAAAAUUUCGCGAGUGGAAUUUGCAACGACAGUGAAAAAGUGUUUUAAUUAAUUAACAAUCACUAGUGUCCCUGAGUUCAAUCGCACCACACGAUAUAUCACUCAACGAUAUAUCGACAAAAAUAAAUAAAAAAGAGAAAUAGUAAGCGAGAAUAAGCAGCCAUGUACGGAAGGGCGAAAAUGCACGAAGAGCCGGUGACAUGCGGCUGCGGAUUGGUCCGUAGUCCAGCCCGGCGCCGGCGAGGCAACCAAUCAGAGCCCGUCUCCAGACUCUAUUUCGACUACAUACGAGUUCCAAGCCACAACCGGCAGGAAACUACCUUAGUCCACCCGGUCACCCAGAAGUCCGCGGUACAGGCAGAGGCCAUCCACUCCCCCCCAGCCUCCUCCACCCUGAGAUUCGAGGCGACAUCCCCGGCCCCAAACACCAACACACUCUCCGGCAACGACACGAGGAAAGGGGGUGGAGGACGCCGUUCAGGAGGCUCGUGGGUGAAGAGCCCCGGGGUGAGGCGCCCCGAGGUAUCCCAGGUGACGCUGCAGGGAUGGCUCUACAAGCAGGGCGCCGACGGCCUGCACCUCUGGAAGAAGAGGUGGUUCGUCCUCUCGGAGUACUGCCUCUACUAUUACAAGGGUCCGGACGAGGAUAAAGUCCUAGGGUCGCUGCCGCUGCCCUCCUUCAAGAUCAGCCCCGUGGACUCGGAGGACCGCGUGUACCGCAAGCAUGCCUUCAAGGCGGAGCACCAGAACAUGCGCACCUACUACUUCGCGGCGGAGACCAAGGACCAGAUGGCACAGUGGAUGAACGCCCUCUCCCUCGCCUCCAUCCUGCAGAAGGACACCAGCCUCGAGGAGAAGUGGAGUAGUGGGAGCAGCGCGCGCCGGAGUGAGCGCCCUUCGGUCUCGUCCCUGGCCUCGACUGCCUCGCCGUCAGCGGACGAGAGCGAUUCCGGUUUCCACGGCUACAGGUCGAGGAGGUACCGGUCACCAGACGGCCGGUCUUUGGACGAGGCAAGCGAAUCCUCCCGACUGCAGGGCGACCGCUUGAACACCUCCUGCGACUCGUCCCUGAUCCUCCGGCCGGGCGAUCGGCAGCCCCUCUACGCCAACGCCCCGCCCAAGCCCAAGAGGCUCAACUCCUCCAGGGACUACAGCACCUCCCCGGAGCGGUCCCCCGAGCGGGACGAGAGGGACCCGCGCAUCUACACGGACCAUGGUGGUGGCAACGGCGCCGCCGACACUCGCUCGCCGGACGCUCGAGGGCUGCACUACCAUCCUCCCUCCGCCGAGCGAAGGACUCCCGACGCCUACGGAGUGACGUCGGGCGGCGCGCGCGGGGACUACGAGGAUGUGUAUGGCGACAGCAAUGGAUCCAGUUCCAUAGCGCAGAGUCCCAUACGCAAGCCCGACCAGCGAGACUCCUUCGCCUCGUCCAGGAGUGGCGGGACAAGACUCUCCGAGGAACUACAGCUGGCCGACCCCAUGAGGCCCAACUUCCGCGGCCAGGAGGACACGCUCCCCCGCGUCUCGCACGCGGACCCGCACCACCGGCAUCGGCCGCAGGGACCGCCGCGCCCGCACAGCGCCGACUUUUUAGAGUACGACCGACGACACGGCAGCAACGACAUGUGGUCUUACAGACGCGGCAGCGGCGGCGACCUCCCGAGACCCAACGAGAUCCGACCCAAGUCGUCUGUGGGCCAGAGCGACUUAGAUCACUGGUCGGAGGAGAAUUAUGCUCAGAAGAUGAGGCAGUCCUCGCUGUACCACACGCACAUGCACAGCAGACCCACGUCGAGAUUCUCUGCAGCGGGGAAGGGCGAGAGUCCCGUCAGCGACCACCACCACCUGCAGAGUCCUCACAGCGUCCCUCAGCGAGUGCCACCUGCCGGGGCUGCCACACCCGACCUGUACACGCCACACAAACCCACGGGCAUGGCGCCGGGCACCAGCAACAGCCUGCGACACGGAAUGGUUGGCGACGCACGGCCAGCCUCGAGACAGGAUCUGAGUCAAGAUCCGCGGGUAGACGCGAGGCCCGACCUGAGACAGGAUCCCAGACAGGAUCCCAGACACGACCUCAGAGCAGAUCCGAGACUCGAAUCAAGACCAGUGCACAUGAGGGCGGAGCCGAGGCAAGACCCGCGGCAGGGGAUGGCGCCCGAAGCUCACAGACAACACAAUCACGAGGAUGCACACAACAGAUCCGACACGUCACCCAACACGACGCUCAACAGUGUGCCCACGCCCCCGGGCAGCUACCAAAACAGCGCCUCUCCCAGUGGCAGCACCAACAACAGCUUUAUGAGAUCGGCAUCUGCGCGGUUGCCGAGGCACAAGUUGCAGGAUGAUAUGAUGAACACCUCGUUGCCUGACGAUGGGUCUGAUGGAGACACGAAAAAGAUGCAACAGAGGGAAGAAUCAAUGAAAAGGCUGCUGGAGUGGAAACAGCGAAUGUUGCAGUCACCCUUGACACGGAAGACCUCUCCUCGCCAGGAUGCAACUGCAACACCACAGCCUCGAACAAACAGCGAAGCUUAUAGGCAACAAGUCCUAAACGAGCUUGCAACUCAGGAAGCGAGAUCCAAAAGUGUCCAGAGUCACGGUCACGGCCACGGCCAGAGCCAGUCUCCUGGGAGGCCCCUGGGCCAAGGGCCUCCUCCGGGCCCUGUGCCAGGAAAGCCCCACGGCUUCUCGCCCAAUGGACCAGCCGCACUGCAUCACGGGGCAGGUAGUCAACCAGGUCAGGUACCUAGUGACUGUUCUGUGCCUCAGGAUUAUGUGAAUGCCAGUCCAAUGAGUCAGGGCCAAAUGAAUCAAAGUCCCAUGUGUAUAUCUGGUCAUGGACCUGGGGAGAGGCCGGCCCCUCAGGGGAGCUCCUCUCACCAGAGUUCCGACAGUGGGAGCAGUAGGAGGAGGGAAGGUCGGAGGGAGAACUCUAGAACCAGGCAUGUUAGUGGAGGAGACUCGAGAAGGUCGGCCUCUGCCUCAAGAUACAAUAGCUACUCGUCAGAUGAAGAAGAUCUGCUGGAGGAACGUGAGACUCGCAAAAGGACUCGGCGCAACUCGAGGAGAAGCAGUGCCGAGUUGAGUCGCGAUGGACGAAGGACAGGGUCCACCCCCGAAGGCAGAUAUCCAGCCUGGCCGGAAAAACGCAGUCCCGAGGAAAUGUUGGACGUUUCCAGGGAUUUCCGGGAUGAAAAUAGGAACGAGCUUCCAAGUGACACUUUUGUGCCACAGCCAAUGCAGGCGACACCGACUUCGUCGCCUGAUUAUGUGAAUAUAAAUAUUGUUAGUGAGUCGUGUGAUCCCAAAUAUUCAAAUAAGUUGAGAGGCAAAAGCAAUGCCUCUGAUGUGGAAAAUAUUUGCAGUGAGAGAACAGUGAGCCAACGUGCUGAACCCGUGUUCAUUGAACAGCACGAGGGCUAUGACGAAGUGAGAAGGUUCGAGCCACAGCAUCUAGAAAAUGAACAAAGUUCAAAUGUGUCCAGGAACUUUGAACAGAGCUAUGUAUACAGUGACCGAUUUUAUGCAACAAGAGAUCCAUAUUAUGUGUCAGAUGUUCAAAUGCCAGCAAUAAACGACCAUAAAUUUGAUGAGGACAAGAAUACCAGUGCCCCUGUGAAUAACAUUUCACAAAGAGUUAUGAACACCUCGUAUGAGUCUAAGACUUCAUCGCAGAAUAUGUACCAUCAAGUGAAUAAUAUUUCCUUUGACAAUGAGCAGAGAAGGUCCUCUGUGGAUAUGACAAAGAAUUCGCACCACAGUCUACAUGGGAGAGAUGGCAAAGACUUCCAGAGCUACGAUAGUACAACAGGCUAUCCAUCCUAUGACUCCCACGUUGCUCAUAAGGCUGAUAGUCUAAAUUCACAUAUUUCUCAAAGAGGGACUGGCUUCCAAGACGAUACCACUUCCACAGGUAAAUACUCAGACAGUGGAUAUGAUACUUUGCGUGCAGAAAUGCCCUUUCGACGUGAAGAUAACAGAAAUCCUCAUGGGGGGUCGCUGUGGAAAGCGGAUAGUUUAGAAAGCAGCCCCGAGUGUUCGAGUGUUGUUAGAAGAAGGGGAUACGACCGUGGGGGUAGAAGGCCGGAAACAUGGAGUCCUGAAAAGUUCGAUAGGUCUUGGGUGGGUAGACCCAUGGGACCUGACCUGAAGUCGAAAGUGGAUGAGUCCAAGGUCGUGAAGGAAUACAGUUAUGAAUACAUUACUCCUGAUAAGAACUGUGAAUCGUCGCCACAGGAGAAUUUCAGAAACAUGUCAAAUUCACUGAAAAAGUCAACCCCAGUUUUGCCUUGUUUAGAAAGUCCAAAAAUGGUUCAAGAAACUCAUCAACAGACUCAGAGUCAGAUGAAUUUGGUGCAAGAUAGGAUAAAGAAAUUUACAAGCAACACUGAUACCAAAGAAAAUCAUAUCAAUCAUAGUGAUGAAUCACGCAUCAAGCACUUAAAACAUAGCGAAUCAAAGACACAAAUAGAUAAUCAAAUGAAUAACUCAGGCUUCAUUGAGCAACCUUCAAGACAUCUAAGAGAACCUCUAAAGGAACCAUUAAAGCCUGUGUCUCAAGUCAGAAGCUCAGAAGCUCUUGUAUCGCCUCUGAAGGCCGAGUUCGCCACCUCGGAAUCCACUAUGGUGACGGCUCAGGAGGCGCAAGUCAAGAACAUAUCUGAUUAUAAGAGGAGAGAUGAGGUUAUUGGCGCUGCAACCACUGAAGAAGGUUUGGCUAAUCUCAGGUAUGUCUCGAGUCCAGAGCCUUCAAGUCUCGAGUACAGGGAAUUGAGGAGCCCUCAGGACAUCAUGGAUUCGAGGCUAAGUAGAACAAACAUUAGAAAGUUUUUGUUUGAUGAUGAUUCGAAGCCUGAGGCUGUUAAGCAGCAUGAUAAGCCACUGCAUCCUGUUAAACCUCCUUUGAUGAAGAAACCAACUCAGCCUAGAUCUGUGAAGGCUCUUCUGAAGAACUUCGAAGAGAGGAGCUUAGAACACAUGGAGAGAGUGAGCAUGAGUCAGGAUGUAUCGAGGAAGAAGUUCCACAGUGACUCUGAAAUGCUGUCCAAUGAGAGUUCGAGUGACGAGGGGCCUUGCGAUGACCAGUACAAUGCAUUGCCAGAAAAGACGCCAGUGUCACCCACCACGUCUGUUCUUGCGGACCUGAGGAAGUCGGCAGACGUCAAGAAGGAGGAGAUGGCCCCUAUUGUUCCUCCUCCCAGGCCGCCCAAGAAGCCAACAUUAGGAGGAGACAUGGACGUAGUUAUGGCUCCAGCCUAUCUAAGACUAAGUUUAGCAGAAUCUAUUCAAGAAUCUUUGAAGGUGCAGGAGGACAGUGACAGUGGCGGGGAGGAGCCAAGCUGGAUGGACACCACAUUGAACAGUGAGCAAAGUAGACAGCUUUAUCCUCCCUCUGAGCACGACACAUCUAUUGUAAUAGACCUGGAUAAGCCACCAGAAGAAGAUGCUCCACCACCUCCCAUUUGCCCCACGAGUGGAAUUCAGAGCCCACUACCUCGACCAAAUCCUUACAUUGAGGAGAACUACUUACCCAUGAGCCCACCUAAGAAGCCAAGCCAUGGAUCAGGUAUUCUUGCACCAGCAAGUUCUUGCAGCAGCCUGAGCAGUAAGCAUUUGCCUACUCCAGAGCCUGUAUACCCUGAUGCUUUUGCUAAAACAGAGUAUGAGGAACACACUUAUAUCGAAAUGAGUGGAGACACAGCAUCCAAUAACGCCGCUAGUAAUGCAAAUCUUCCUCCUCGACUUGAUCUCAGUAAAUUAGCUGGUGAGCAAAUGUUUACACCUGAGAGCCCUAGAUAUUAUGAAAUUGGGGAUAAAGAUGAACCUCAGCAUUACGAGUAUAUCUACAAAGGGCAGUCACACUACGAAGCAAUCUACAUGGAAGUUCCAAACUCUGAAAAGGACGAAAAUCCGAUAGAUGAAAAACCCCAGAUUCCAGAGAAACCUGAGGAACUGAAACUGCAGGCUCAUUCUGAGAGGAAGUAUCCGUCAGAUACGGCUCUUAACUCCUCUCUUAGCAAGAUUGACACAAAGCCACAGUCUAAUGUCUCUUCUGAUGCAGAUGAUGAAGCUUCCAAGGACCUUGAUAGUCUGGAACCUCCGCGCAAUCCUCGCUUCAGCCUGUCAGACACUUUCCGUCCAGCUUCUUAUUACCUAAGUGGAGCUGAACCUUCAAGUGACCCUGAUGCGCAAGAUUCCUCCGAUUCUGACCUUGUUCCUCCUCCACCCAUACCUCUUAGUCCGCCGCCAAUGGACGAACUAGAAACGGGAGGACCAAAGGCCAAGAAUUUCGAUUUUGAGAAUUUAGAAACGCCUGAUCCACCUCCACAUCUCCGAAAUGCUCUGACCUCCUCAAGGUCACUCAGGGUCAGCCAGAACAGCCUCAGAGAAGAUCUAAAUACUUCGAGAUCAUCUAUUGUUAAGGAAAAAAGAAUGUUUGAAAAGUCAGAAUCUUCCUCCAGUCUUCACUCGGAUAAACUGAAGAGAAGGCCAGUAUUUGAAGAGACUCUUGAGAGUCUUCACGAUGACGAUAGUUUCAUUCUAAGGUCAGAGGAUAGGUACCCUGCAUCAGCUGCUUAUCCAGAAGAUUGCACGAUGUCUGGAGCAGAAAAGAACAUCCAGAGAGACAGACGGAAACCUUUCCCACAGUGUGCUGAAGAUAUUCUACUUCCUGGGGAGAAACACGAACCCUCUGCCAGGCCAAAGUCGGCUUUGGAUCACAACAUGUCUUUCCAGAGCAACUUGGACACCUCAUUUUCAUCUGGAAAAAUUGAGAAUCCGUACGUGAAUGAGGGCUUCCAGCAUAACGCUCGCCCCAAUUUGAACAACCUUCAGGGCCCUCCAGUAGGUAGAGAGUACUGUAAUAUACCUCCCAACUCAAAAGCCUGCAGCCAGCUCGAAAGAGAGAGGUCGAACUCUACCGGUUCACGGCCAAAGUCUCCUGAUCCAUAUGCUGACCGGAAGGAGCUCUCCACUUACCAGAACGUUCCUGCACCAAGGACAUCGCUGCUUAAGAAGAACCCAAGUCAGCUGAUCUCCUCGAAUGCAGAGCCAACAGGGUCUCCCAUGAUUGAUGCUCUUCGUGGGGUGCACAGUCCCGUUGCCCAGCUCAGUGUAAGUCAUCAACGCACGUCGUCAGAGGCUUCAUCUCGAGGGUUAGUGAGCCCAACAGCUAGUGUCCUCUCUCUAGGGGCGGGCAAUGUGGCUCCUAUACAUUUAAGAGCCGCAUCCAAUGUGUCAGUGGGAAGUGAAUCGAGUCCUCGCUCUGCACCCUAUUAUUACUCUGAUGUAAUUCGUGACGAAGGUGCUGCACUCGCUGACGGGAUGGUAGGCACUCCCAGAUCGAGGUCUUACCAACUCAAUAACCAGCGCGAUCUUGAGGCUAACAAGAGGCAGGACAUUGGUCGUAAGGUAAAUCAAAUAACUAGUGCUUCAGACUUUGAACAAAGACGUGAGAGAAUGACACAAAACCACAGUCUGGCUCAUGAGCUGAGAACUUCAGUUGAGUUUCUUGAAGGAAAGACUGUGACUUCCCCAGAUGAACGGAAUGUCUAUGAUUCUGACACACUUCGUAAAAUGAAGCGCCGAGCUUAUACCCCAGACCCUGAGCUUGAUGCCAAGAAUGUGUUUCCUUACGGUCUCUCAGUGAAAAUGGACUCUCCUUCAGCCGGUCCUCAGAUGGGCCACCGAAGAACGAGGUCAUUGGAGGGACUUUUAGAUGAGCCAGCUCGGCCUUUCGCAGGUGGAGCAAGUAAUACCCUGCCGCCACCUCCAGACAAUUCACAUUCCUUCAAUUCACAUUCCUUCAAUGGUCCAACACAACACAAUUCUGGUUAUGCCAAACCAGGUGUCCCACAGAUUGCCAUGUCAGCACCCUUGAGAACGAGUCAAGGAAGUUCUUUAGGAUCAAGUGUAUCGCCGCCACCGCCACCUCUUGUGACUACACCACAUCGAGGAGCCUUCUCCCAGCUCACAAGCCAACGUGCGUCGGUCAGUAGCUUGCACAGCAGUGGCAGUGUUCCGCCAGGAGCAACCUCCCCAUAUGCUACUUCUCCCUUGCCAGUAUCACCCUUACCUCCAUACCAGAUUGGCAGUCGCGAUAGCCUUGUCAGCAGGGAAAGCACUGCAAGUCGAAUCAGCUUUCAUGAACCCCGGAGUCCACAUCACCCACGCAGCCCUCUGAGCCACGAUCAGAUGGGUUUCCAGGAGAGCCAAGAAUGGGAAGACGAUAGUCAAUGGCGGGAACAGCUUCGCCGUGCUUCCUUGAGGCAUACCCGCUCCUUAGAGACUCUAGAUGAAGGACGACCUCGAAGACCCGGGGACGGAGGCAGUACUGAAAACCGCCCUCCUGCCAGACUGAGUGUGCCAAACCACCAGCCAAGCAUGGAGGACCACAACAACCAGCGACUGCAGCAACACAAGCUGGAUGAAUACACGGUCGAUUACCGCGAAGGCCGCGUAGGACCGAACCAUUACCGAGGGCAUGGCAGCCAACACUCGGAGACCCUCGAGAGAACCCGGAGAGGCCUCACAUGCCUUGAGGGCUACGAGUGGGACGAGGCUGAAGAGCGGUUCAGGAAGCCGAACCCGUCCAGCCGGAUUCAGUCCCCGACGCACCAGCAGAACCACACCGUCCAGCAUCAGCCUUUUUUAGCCGACGGCCUCCCACCUUCACCCGAGACGGAGCGCGAGGAGCAGCGUCAGUGGCAGGAGAGCCCGGCGCCGCGCCCCGCCCCCGGUCCGGCCUCGCCCCGCCCACAGGAGCACCUUUCUUCGGCGGGCGGCGAUGAGAGUCCGGCCGAUUCCUCGGGGGUAGGAGGGAGGCCCGCCGACGCGAGCGAGGCCCGGCCCGACGGCGCCGCCGCUUCGCCUGCGGCCUCGCCCGCGCCACAAGACACCGCGCCCUCGCCCACGCCCACAAGCAGCGCUUCUCUCACCGCUCCAGAUGUCAUCCCCACGCUUGACGUCAAGUUGGGUGAGAGUCUACCUCGCCGACCUGAUCCUAACGCACCCAACUCCGGUGUACCACAGGGGUCCACCCACGCCCACGCUCACCCCCACGCCCAUGCUCAGAAGUACCACCACUCACACGCCCAUCACCAGAACUACCAACACCACCCUCACCCCCAUUCCCAGAAUCCGUAUCAUCAUUACAAAAGCGACGAGCUACACAAGUACUCCAACCACCCUGGCCAGAACUACCAAAGCAAUGGUCCGUAUGCUAAUAACUAUCACAGUAGCCACGGCUACCAUUCAAACUAUCCCGAGGAGCACGCCAACUACCCCAAUAACUUCAAGACGCCCCACAACCGGCCGCCCAACUACCAGGAGAACCAACAGUCGCUAGCGACGAACAAUUACAACAACACACUCAACAGCCAGCGCGGCGCCAUGAACGGAUCCUACAGACAGCCCAGUCACUACGACUUCCAGGACUACCACAACUUCAAGAACCACCAGCAAGACUACAAGAACCACCAGCAGGACUACAAGAACCACCAGCAGGACUACGGCACGUACGGGAAGCACCCUCGGCACCACGACCAGCGCAUCAACGGACGUCUGGCCGGCGGCAGCGACCCGCACCAGCAGUAUUCCGACUCCGAACUGACCGUGUCUAAGCAGCAGCAGACAGCGGCGGCAGCGGCUGCGGCGGCGGCGGCGGCGGCCCAGGAGGGCGUGGAGGUGCGGGGGUUGCAGGGCGUGAGCGCGGGGGAGCUGCUCGGUAAGACUCACGAGGAGCUGGUGCUGCUCCUGAUCCAGCUGCGGCGCCACCACUCGGCGCUCCAGGCGGCUCGCCACCACGCCCGCCUCGAGAGGGACUCGCAGGCCCGCCUUGCGCACUUGGAUGGGGAGCACCGGGAGGACCACCUGCGCCGUCUGGCUGCCCUUAAUCACCACCUGCACGAUCUUGAUAAGCAGUAUGAAAUGGGUAAACCCCUAAUUAAUCUUGUGGACAACAUGGUCAAGCUCGGAUCGCUGUAUCGUGGUGGUGAUUCGAGGAUCUCUGCUCCUCGCGAUUCUCAGAGGCCGAGGUCACAUUAUCCAGCAGAUGGCUAUGACUCUCUUCAGUUCUCAAGAAGAAUUCAGGAAAGGAGAAUAGUAGCGGAGGACAUGCAGGAAUAUGAGCUGGCAGCAGCAGAUCAGGCUGACUUAGAGGGAAAAGUGAUGCAAUUGUAUAAGUUGGACAAGAACCUACAGCAAGAGUCACUGACCAUUCAGAGCUUGCAGAGAGAGAAGGAGAUGCUGGAACGCACCCUAGUAAACCUGAAUUCCAAGUCUCACGGAGCAAACGAGGGACCGGUAGAACUCGAACGGAGAAAGAAACAGAGACGGCACUUGGAACACGAACUUUCCAAACUCCGUGCUCACCUUGCUGUAUCUGCAAGGAAAUUAGAGGAAACUGCUGCUGAGAACAGCCGCCUAGAACACGAGAUGAUGAUGCUUCGCCAAAAGAUCCAGGUAACCAUGGCACGCAACUGCCAGAGAGAGUCGAGCAGCAGUGCCGAAACACGUCAUAUUGAAGCGGAAAUGGUCCGUGUGCAAACCCUGUUAGAAGAUCUACAGAGGCGAAGAAUUGAGCUGAGUCACCAGAUCCAAAGAUUAACAUCAAGCAACCCAGGCAUCGAGCUCAGACCCUCUCCCACUGGUGUGAUGGGUGCUGCCCCGGUGCCCGCAAGGAAGAGAAGAAGCACUUGGCUCGAAACGGACCUGGAUGCCAUGAUAACGAGGGACCGAGGCUUGGACCCGCCUGAGGAGGAGAUGAUGCCGAGUCACCCCGUCUAUGUGAAUGCUGCGGGUUAUCCAGACAAGGUUGGGCCCAGUGAUUACCCUGAAAGUCCGGACUAUAUAGAUUCAGACUAUCCACCACCUCCACCUCCUCCUGAGCAUAUGCGGUCAUAUAAUGAACUCCUUGAUAGCCAAACAUCAUUGGCAGAUCAUUUCCUGAAUGAACAUCUAUACCUUCAUAAUUAUUCAGCUUUAGGAGAAUCAGAUCAAAGACAGCCUCUGUUAAAUGGGGACCUAGGAGGAAGUGCCUUGCUUGGGCUCGACCGUGACGCCGCAGAUAAUCAACCCGAUGGUGAAGAACAGCAGCAAUCUGGGAGCCAUUUGGAUAUCAAUGAUGCUGAUGACAGAAUGAAGAGAUAUUAUGGCAUUCUCCCCAAAGAGAAACCGUUGGAAAUAAAGACAGUGCGUAUUGUGAAGAGGGAGUCGACAGAGAGGAAGAAGGACCGCAGUGUGGGUGGAAAGCGCGUGACGAUCGGAGAGAACAAUCUGACUUACGUGACGGAAGAUGACAUUGAGAGCGAUUGUCUGUCGGAUGUUGAGAAUGAACCACCCAUUCCCUCCUUUGCGUCAAGGUCAGCAUCACUGCCUCGGAACUAUGGACGAAACGGACCAGGGGAACGUGUCAGUAUGAUGGCAGCGAUGAUGAGGACGAGUGUUGGCAAUGCAGGCACCAUGACGCGUCCCAACAAUUUAGCUCUAAAGAAAUCUGCUGAAUGGAAGGCAAAGAAUGAGAACCUCAAAGGUCGCCCAUUGAGCGCACAUGAGCAACUUUUUGGCUUUUCUCGGGAAGCUGAGCAAACCCCCCCAGCUUCCCCCUCCAAGUCGGACCCCCCCUCCCCUGUUUUCAAAAGUGCCGCUGCACAGGAGAUUAUAAAGGAAAUGGCCUCUGAGGCUGAGAAACACAGGCGAUCUGUGCCUAAAGAGAAGCGAAGGCACUUCACGAUCUCUAGUAGUCGGCCUCUUAUGCUAGAGACAAGAGAUACAGGUCUUGAGGAGGGUGCUAGAUCACGUGAUGACUGCGAUAUGGUCAGGGCCUUGCGUCCGCGAAACCAUCCUGAUGUCGUUAAGUCAACCCUUAGCACAAGGGAUCUCCGAUUUAAUGAGACUACCAUUGACUCUAUACUUGGUGCUCCAGAUAAGAUUUACAUUCCGGAGAGAUAUAUGCCGGAUGAGGAUGAUGAGAAGGAGCCGACAGAAGAGGAGCGCGCACAAAGGGAGCAGAAAGCAGAAUCGAUCCGGAAGAUGCUCAGUGAAACGCAAACGACCGUCACCGCCACCGACAACCCAGAAGUCAAAAGUGAGGCGAGUGAAAUGGCUGCGAGUUCCUCCUCAGCUUUCAAAGCCAAGAUUGCAGCAGAGAAGAAGGAACGAGAACAUCUCCUGGCACUGAAUCAAAUACUUGCUCGGCAGGUCAUGGAGAAAAGCCGUGUAGUUGCAGCUCACAACACAGUGGAGCCUCAACUCUAGCUGGUCAUGUCACAACAGGUGGGUUGACAUAGGCCUGAAAGCUCACCCAAUUCUGAGCCCAAGAAAUGAUACGAGCUCUUACAAUGCUGACCAAGCAACCUAGUUCUUCCGACGAUGACCUGUCACCAAUGCAGCCUCUUCCUCUUGUGCAGCAGCGGGAAAACUACCUCGUCUAGACAACCAGACACCAAUCUCCUUGUCUGGG